rnacentral:rRNA from 1 species
AGCUUGCUGGGUGGAUCAGUGGCGAACGGGUGAGUAACACGUGAGCAACCUGCCCUCCACUUCGGGAUAAGCCUUGGAAACGGGGUCUAAUACCGGAUAUGAGCACAUGACGCAUGUCGUGUGUUGGAAAGUUUUUCGGUGGGGGAUGGGCUCGCGGCCUAUCAGCUUGUUGGUGGGGUGAUGGCCUACCAAGGCGUCGACGGGUAGCCGGCCUGAGAGGGCGACCGGCCACACUGGGACUGAGACACGGCCCAGACUCCUACGGGAGGCAGCAGUGGGGAAUAUUGCACAAUGGGCGAAAGCCUGAUGCAGCGACGCCGCGUGAGGGAUGACGGCCUUCGGGUUGUAAACCUCUUUCAGCAGGGAAGAAGGCCUUCGGGUGGACGGUACCUGCAGAAGAAGCGCCGGCUAACUACGUGCCAGCAGCCGCGGUAAUACGUAGGGCGCAAGCGUUGUCCGGAAUUAUUGGGCGUAAAGAGC